rnacentral:rRNA from 1 species
AGUGAACGCUGGCGGUAGGCCUAACACAUGCAAGUCGAACGGCAGCACAGUAAGAGCUUGCUCCUACGGGUGGCGAGUGGCGGACGGGUGAGGAAUACAUCGGAAUCUACUUUUUCGUGGGGGAUAACGUAGGGAAACUUACGCUAAUACCGCAUACGACCUACGGGUGAAAGCAGGGGAUCUUCGGACCUUGCGCGAUUGAAUGAGCCGAUGUCGGAUUAGCUAGUUGGCGGGGUAAAGGCCCACCAGGGCGACGAUCCGUAGCUGGUCUGAGAGGAUGAUCAGCCACACUGGAACUGAGACACGGUCCAGACUCCUACGGGAGGCAGCAGUGGGGAAUAUUGGACAAUGGGCGCAAGCCUGAUCCAGCCAUACCGCGUGGGUGAAGAAGGCCUUCGGGUUGUAAAGCCCUUUUGUUGGGAAAGAAAAGCAGCAGGUUAAUACCCCGCUGUUCUGACGGUACCCAAAGAAUAAGCACCGGCUAACUUCGUG